CUGAUGAGCUAGGCCUGGUGGAUGGAAUCUCUGCCUGAGAAUGGGCGAGGCCGGGACCUGAGGGAAAGGAGGAGCUGACGCCAGACCGAGGGGGUGUGAGUAUGGACAGACACAUCUCUGCAGAACUGCCCGGUCCAUCUACCCUGAGCAUCCCCCCAGCUCUCCACCACACCCGUACAUCCACACUGCUUCCUCCAGGAUCGGAGCCACCUGGAUUUUUCUCCUGAGCUCCUGCCAUGGCCUCUGUAGCCACUGCCCAUUUCCCUUCCUGCCUCUGGCUCAGAUUCUGUUUAUGACUAAGCCAUUCAUCAAAAAGCCAAAAAGCACCAGCCACCCAGACACGUGGCUUCUCCCCCACCUCCACCUGCCUGUCCCCCAGCACUGACCCAGAGCAGAGGACACCUGGCUACCUCCCCCCAGAGUCCUGCACCGCACCUGUUUCAGAUGAGGAACUUCUCAGCAGACUCAUCACCCUCAUCCAUACCAGAGAGAGAACCACCUCCUCCCCGCCCUGCCUGUUGUCCAGACGUGAAAUAAGAGUGACACUCAAAGAUCCCUGAGACAGGGAUAUGUGGACAACAGAUGUGCAUUUGGAGAUGAAAGAGACUGAGAAAUCAUUGCUGGCAGAGCUGUUCCUGGAAGGGAGAUGAAGGCGAGAAGGCACAUCUGGGUUACAGGAAGAGGCGGCCCCUCAUUCAACAUCUUUAGCCUAGGAGGGCCCAGGGCUCCGCACUGAAGGCAUUAAUUGGAUUUCA